rnacentral:rRNA from 1 species
UACGUAGGGGGCAAGCGUUGUCCGGAAUCAUUGGGCGUAAAGAGCGUGUAGGCGGCCUGAUAAGUCGGCUGUGAAAGUCAAGGGCUCAACCCUUGAAUGCCGGCCGAUACUGUCAGGCUAGAGUCCGGAAGAGGCGAGUGGAAUUCCUGGUGUAGCGGUGAAAUGCGCAGAUAUCGGGAGGAACACCUAUGGCGAAGGCAGCUCGCUGGGACGUUACUGACGCUGAGACGCGAAAGCGUGGGGAGCAAACAGG